CUCCCAUUGUCGCCUGUCACUUUUAGUGUGAGGUCACGUCUCCGAUCGGGCGACUGGUUGGGUGCUGCUCCGUGCUGUGUGUGCACGCUGCUGUGGGUUGAUCGGCAGUGGUGCAUGCUGGCAGCUGCCUGAAGCUCUCUUCCAUUUCCUCUCGUGAGCGUUUGUUACUGCAAGAAGGUGAUCUUAACCACCUAACGGCCGCUGCUGCUUUGUAGCCACUGAGUUUUGGUUCGUGUUGGUGGCCGCUGCGGGCUCGUGUGGCGUCAUUCGGUGGCCGUCGGAAACGUUACCGCCGACUGCCAGUCCAAGCAUACGCCGGGCCAAAGCGAUCGUUCGGCUGCAGCUCCGCACGACUGUUUUUACCGGGGAUUUUCCCCCUUAUACGGAGCGA